UACGGAGGGUGCGAACGUUAAUCGGAAUCACUGGGCGUAAAGCGCGCGUAGGCGGUUUGUUAAGUGGGAUGUGAAAGCCCCGGGCUUAACCUGGGAAUUGCAUUUCAAACUGGCGAACUAGAGUGCGAUAGAGGGAGGUAGAAUUUCCUGUGUAGCGGUGAAAUGCGUAGAUAUAGGAAGGAAUACCAGUGGCGAAGGCGGCCUCCUGGAUCGACACUGACGCUAAGGCGCGAAAGCGUGGGGAGCAAACAGG
rnacentral:rRNA from 1 species